UGUAUAAUGGGUCAGCGACUUAUAUUCUGUAGCAAGGUUAACCGAAUAGGGGAGCCGAAGGGAAACCGAGUCUUAACUGGGCGUUAAGUUGCAGGGUAUAGACCCGAAACCCGGUGAUCUAGCCAUGGGCAGGUUGAAGGUUGGGUAACACUAACUGGAGGACCGAACCGACUAAUGUUGAAAAAUUAGCGGAUGACUUGUGGCUGGGGGUGAAAGGCCAAUCAAACCGGGAGAUAGCUGGUUCUCCCCGAAAGCUAUUUAGGUAGCGCCUCGUGAAUUCAUCUCCGGGGGUAGAGCACUGUUUCGGCAAGGGGGUCAUCCCGACUUACCAACCCGAUGCAAACUGCGAAUACCGGAGAAUGUUAUCACGGGAGACACACGGCGGGUGCUAACGUCCGUCGUGAAGAGGGAAACAACCCAGACCGCCAGCUAAGGUCCCAAAGUCAUGGUUAAGUGGGAAACGAUGUGGGAAGGCCCAGACAGCCAGGAUGUUGGCUUAGAAGCAGCCAUCAUUUAAAGAAAGCGUAAUAGCUCACUGGUCGAGUCGGCCUGCGCGGAAGAUGUAACGGGGCUAAACCAUGCACCGAAGCUGCGGCAGCGACGCUUAUGCGUUGUUGGGUAGGGGAGCGUUCUGUAAGCCUGUGAAGGUGUGCUGUGAGGCAUGCUGGAGGUAUCAGAAGUGCGAAUGCUGACAUAAGUAACGAUAAAGCGGGUGAAAAGCCCGCUCGCCGGAAGACCAAGGGUUCCUGUCCAACGUUAAUCGGGGCAGGGUGAGUCGACCCCUAAGGCGAGGCCGAAAGGCGUAGUCGAUGGGAAACAGGUUAAUAUUCCUGUACUUGGUGUUACUGCGAAGGGGGGACGGAGAAGGCUAUGUUGGCCGGGCGACGGUUGUCCCGGUUUAAGCGUGUAGGCUGGUUUUCCAGGCAAAUCCGGAAAAUCAAGGCUGAGGCGUGAUGACGAGGCACUACGGUGCUGAAGCAACAAAUGCCCUGCUUCCAGGAAAAGCCUCUAAGCAUCAGGUAACAUCAAAUCGUACCCCAAACCGACACAGGUGGUCAGGUAGAGAAUACCAAGGCGCUUGAGAGAACUCGGGUGAAGGAACUAGGCAAAAUGGUGCCGUAACUUCGGGAGAAGG
rnacentral:rRNA from 1 species